rnacentral:rRNA from 1 species
ACGUGGAUAACCUGCCUAUAAGACUGGGAUAACUUCGGGAAACCGGAGCUAAUACCGGAUAAUAUUUUGAACCGCAUGGUUCAAAAGUGAAAGACGGUCUUGCUGUCACUUAUAGAUGGAUCCGCGCUGCAUUAGCUAGUUGGUAAGGUAACGGCUUACCAAGGCAACGAUGCAUGGCCGACCUGAGAGGGUGAUCGGCCACACUGGAACUGAGACACGGUCCAG